UUUUGAUUGUUUGACUUUGACUUUCAAUGUUAUUGGUCAACAUAUGAUGAUUGGUACAUUGUACUUCAUUUAAUGCAUUUGUAUUUUUGCCAUUUUUAUUUCCAUUAUUCAUCUCCUUCUUCUUCUUUUUUUCUUUUUUGAUCAAUGAGUUGAAGGUUGAUAAGUUAGCAUUGAUUAGGGAGACUUAAUCUUCCUUGAUUCAAAUCUAAUUCAUCUUGAUCAAUUGAUC
rnacentral:lncRNA from 1 species